rnacentral:lncRNA from 10 species
CUGAGCCAAAAAUGGAGACCAUGGCCCAUGACACAACCCUCAGGAGGUCCUGAGAACAUGUGCUCAAGGUGGUCGGGUACAGGUUGGUUUUAUAUAUUUUAGGGAGGCAUGAGACAUCAAUCAAAUACAUUUCAGAAUACAAUGGUUUGGUUCAGAAAGGCAGUACAACUCAAGGGGGGUGGCUUCCAGGCUAUAGGUAAAUUUAAACACUUUCUGGUUGAUAAUUGGUUGAGUUUAUCUGAAGACCUGGGAUCAAUGGAAACGAUUUUUCAGGUUAACAUAAAGAAUUGUGGAGACCAAGUUUCAUUGCACAGAAGAAUACGUCAGAUAGCAGACUUCAGAGAGACAGAGAGAGUAUCUUGUAAAAUGUUUCUUAUCAGACCUAAAAGGGCACCUGGCUCUUAGCUGAUUAUCUCCUGGAUCUGGAAAGAAAGGAAGAAAAACAAAGGGGAAAGGGGAUCUCCAUAGGAUGUGUAUUUUUCCCACAGGAGACCUUGUAGGGCAAUUUCAAGGUAUGGCAAGGAAAUACAUUUUGGGGUUAAAUAUCUUUUCCUUGUUUCAUAAUGUUAUGCCAGAGUCAGACUGAGAAGUAAGUCACAAUAUAUAGGGUCAAAUAAAACCCAUCUGAUGAUAUUUUAUGGUUUGUAGGGCAUGACUCCCUAGACCCCUUAGGUAGGAAUUUGGGCAAGAUAAAAAAUCAGGGCUUAGUCCUCACAGGCCUGAAUUUUUUUUUUUUUUGAGACAGGGUCUCACUGCAUUGCCCAGGCUGGAGCGCAGUGGCACAAUCACAGCUCACUCCAGCCUCAAACUCCCAGACUCAAGUGAUCCUCUCACCUCAGCUUCCAAGUAGCUGGGACCACAGAUGUGCACCACCAUGCCCUGUUUUUAAAAUUUUUGGUAGAGACAGGGUCUCCCUAUGUUGCCCAAGCUGGUCUUGAACUUCUGGCCUCGAGCAAUCCUCCUGCCUUGGCCUCCCAAAGUGCUGGGAUUAUAGGCAUGAGCCACCAUGCUAGGCCAGGCCUGAAAUCUUUCAGCGCAUGAAGACCCUUUGCUCAGAAGUUCUGUCUAACUCACUGUGGCCCAUUGGCCCACAGUCUGGGCCAACAGAGGGUGCAGUUUUAGAGUCCUGAGGAUGACUUGCCGGCCUCCAAAAUUUAUUUAUUUUACACAUUUUAAGAAGUCAGGAAACAAUUCUAAACAAGAUGCUCUAUUUCCCUUCACUUGCUCACUGAUUCUUAAAAGUUCUUUAACACAGGGGUCCCCAAAUCCCAGGCCAUGGACCAGUACUGGUUAGGAACUGGCCACACAGCAGGUGGUGAGUGGCAGGCGAGUGAGUGAAGCUACAUCUGUAUUUACAGCCACUCCUUUUCGCUUGCUUUACCGCCUGAGCUGAGCCUCUGGUCAGAUCAGCAGCAGCAUUAGAUUUUCUCAGGAGCAUGAACCCUAUUGUGAACCGCACAUGAGAGGGAUCUAGAUCGCGUGCUCCUCAUGAGAAUCUGAUGCCUGAUGAUCUGUCACUGUCUCC